rnacentral:misc_RNA from 1 species
GAAAUGCGAUAAGUAAUGUGAAUUGCAGAAUUCCGUGAAUCAUCGAAUCUUUGAACGCACAUUGCGCCCUCUGGUAUUCCGGGGGGGCAUGCCUGUCCGAGCGUCAUUGCGAACCCCUCAAGCACGGCUUGUGUGAUGGGCCCUCCCGCGUCUUGGUCGUCAAGACGGGCCCGAAAUGCAGUGGCGGCUUCGCGGUUAUCCGAUCAGCCAGAGCGUAUGGGGACUUUCUCUCUGUCACACGCCCGCGGCGCGGACCGACGCCUGUCGACCUUCAUUCAUCGUUUUCUCGGUUGACCUCGGAUCAGGUAGGGAUACCCGCUGAACUUAAGC